rnacentral:rRNA from 1 species
UUAUGGUGGCUAUGGCGGUGGGGCCCACCUCUUUCCAUUCCGAACAGAGAAGUUAAGCCCACCAGCGCUGAUGGUACUGCCUUUACCGGUGGGAGAGUAGGUCGCUGCCAAUUU